UACGAAGGGUGCAAGCGUUAAUCGGAAUUACUGGACGUAAAGGGUGCGUAGGCGGUUCGUUAAGUCUGUCGUGAAAUCCCCGGGCUCAACCUGGGAAUGGCGAUGGAUACUGGCGAGCUAGAGUGUGUCAGAGGAUGGUGGAAUUCCCGGUGUAGCGGUGAAAUGCGUAGAGAUCGGGAGGAACAUCAGUGGCGAAGGCGGCCAUCUGGGACAACACUGACGCUGAAGCACGAAAGCGUGGGGAGCAAACAGG
rnacentral:rRNA from 1 species